UGCUUUCAAUCCAGAGAUUGCACAACAGAUGUUACGCAUUAUGAAUGACCAAUCCACUAAGCAAAAAUGCACUCAUGAAAAUUAACAGUUCAUACCAAGCAAGUGUUUCACUCAAUCACUCAAGUGUUUAAGGUAACACUCCAACUCUCUAUUAUUCACAAGUCACAUGAAACAAAAUUGCCAUUCAUCUCAAACAAUCAAUAUCUUUACAUGCAAAUGCCAUCAAAAGGACUUUUUCAAGGCUUGUAAUGAGGUUGGGCUAACAAGAAAAAUUGGUUUUUCCAUAAUGCAAAGUCCUUGAGGUAAGAGAGCUAUCAUAAUAUUUAACAAUUUAAGCACAAUUCUCUUCUUCACCAAUCUCACUUAUUCCCAACUUCUUCCCUUUCCUUUUAUUUUUACAUUGAGCUCAUCUUCAUGCUUCUCUUCUUUUCUUUUCUUUUUCUCAUGUAUUUUUCUUCUUUUUCAACAUUUGAGCUCAAUGCUUCACAAUUGUUUUUCAAUUUUCCCCCAUACAACCCCAAACUUGAACCUUUUCAUCACAAACAAUCAAGCUCAUCCCAACUCAAGGUAAAGAUUUUAAAGACAAGGGUUCAAUUCCUGUUUAAGGCUAAGGUUCAAGAAGGGUAUAAUAUUUUCAAGCACUUUGGGUGAAAAUUUGGCUAGAGAAGGGUUCUCAAAAAUGGCCUUGAUCAUAUGACAUCCACAUGCAAUUCAAUCAAUCAUCAAGAUUAAGGCAACAUCAUUCAUGUUUUCCUGUGAACAAUGCAUACAACAAUAAAACUCUGGAGCUCAACACCUCUCACAACAUGCUUUCUCACACAAAAUUCAUUCAUACACCCUGCCUAGCAUCAUAACCACAAUCAUAAUUUAUCACACAUCUGUUUCACUGGAUAUUCACCCACAACACAACUCAAUUAUCAUCCACAUCAAAUAAUCAUCAAAUAGUUCCAUCAUGCACAUCAGUCAGUCAAACAUUUUCAGAAAAAGUACUUAAGCCUACACACUGAAGUUAAAAUUCAACCUAUUCUAGGAAUUUAAAAAGNAAAAGUAAAAGAGAGAAAACUAGGUUGCCUCCUAGUAGCGCUUGUUUAACGUCACGAGCCUGACCCAAACCUGUUUAGCACUUGUCAGUAAGUGCAAUUCCUUCCACCACCCAUCAGUAGGUGUGUCUUCCUGGAAUCCUUCAGUGGAUUUUAAAAUUUUUUAGCAUCCCUCAGUAGAUGCUACCCAAAAAUUGUUCCAAAAAUUCAAAAUUUGCAUGUUCCAAAGAAAGUAAAAAGAAUGAAAAUAACUGAAAAUGAAAAUUGUUCUUAAAAAUACAAAAAAUGAUUUCCAGCAAUUCAACUCUUUUUCUUCACGUUGGGAUCUUCAUCGUCCCACCGACUCUAUUUUCUUCUGUCCACCCUCUUGACCUAUCUGCUGUAUGGUGCUUCAAUUUCCACCUCCCCUUUUUCUUUCAGCUUGAUUAUCCACUCCUUCCUUUUAUAUUUCACUUUGCUUCCCCGUCGGAGUGGUUCUUCUCUUGCUUUUGGGUGAAUGAUUCUCCUGCUUUUAUUCACUAGUGCCUGUAAAACAUUACAACUGUCAGAAUAAUUAGUAUCCGACGUGCUUUCUUCUUGUUCGGCUUCGCUCUCCUGCUCCUCACGUCUGGGUCUUUUCAUCACUUUGAUCUUGUUUUCAUUAUACCCAGUAUAAAGAAACAGGUGAUCUACGUCCCUCAUCAUUAUUCGCUCAUCAUAAACACUAAUAAGCAUCUUCGAAUUUGCCAUGAAGGGCCUUUCCAAAAUCACAGGAAACUCAUCAUCAGUUUCCAUACCCAUGACAAUGAAGUCUGCCAAGAAUUCAAGCUAUUCCACUCGUACAAUAACAUCUUCCGCCAUUCCCACCGGUAUUUUUAUUGAGCCAUCAACCAUUGUCACAGUAAAAUCAGAUGGUUUCAACACAAUUCUCUUAUUUUUGUCAAGAAAUCUGUGGGUAUCAUAUUAAUGCUACAUCCCGAGUCUAUCAUGGCUUCCACAUCAAAAUCAUUCAGGGCGCAUGAUAAUGUUACACAUCCCAGAUCUUUUACUUUAAGUGGAUGAUCCCUCUUUAGUGGUUGAACAGUAACAUCCUCCUCUUCAUCGGUGAGUUCAGUCUCUUCUUUACCUCCACUAACGUUUAACUCAGUAGCUUCUUCUAUUUCCUGGCUCUCCUCUAUUUUCUCAACACCUACCAUCUCUUUGUCUUUGUUCUCACUGCUCCCCUUAUUGACUAGAUCAUCCUCAGCCUCCUUUUUUUCUCUUAUUAUAACAACUUUGCAUUCUUCUUUGGGGUUAACAUCAGUGCUAGCCCGGAACUGGUGCUUCUCGGUGUUUUCAAUCCUUUUUGACAGCUGGCCAAUUUGUGACUCCAAUGAUUUGAAGCUUGCUUGAUUACUGUUUAACUGGGAUUCAUAAAUUUUAAAGAAUUUAUCAAAUCUCCCACUUAACUCUCUGACUUUCUCAGUUAAACUGUUCACCUGCUGCCAUAAGGGAGAGGGUUGUUGCUGCCAGAAGUUGCCCACUUGUCCAGACGUAUUAUUCUGGCUCUGCCCAAUGCUCAGGUGAUUUUUCCAACCUUGGCUAGAAUUACCUUUGUUGAAAUUUCCUUGCUUGUAUUGAAAUUGGGCUCCCAUAUAAUUAACAUCCUGUUGCAUCUCCUUAGUGAAAGCACAUUCACCAUUGAUAUGGUCGCCACCGCAUAAGUCACAAAGUUGUUGUGUCUGAGAAAUAUUUCUGAUUCCCCUAGGAAGUUCGGAGAGGACCUUCGUCAACUUGUCUAAUUUCUGGCUGAGAAGGUCAUUCUGAGCAGCUGCAGCGUCUUCAGCAGGAAGAUGCAAGAGUCCUCCUUUUUGUAUGCCCCUCUCACUCUGUGACACUUCGUUUAAGGCCAUCUCUUCAAUCAAGUCAUACGCCUCGUCUUCCGUUUUUCUAUUGAUACUACCUCCAGCUGAGGCAUCUAACAUCAUCUUGGAAAGAGCACGUAAACCUCCAAGGAAAGCAAGUAAGUAUGAAGUCUUAUCGAACCCAUGGACUGGGGUCGCCCUCAAUAAACCUUUAAAUCUGUCCCAUGCUUGCCCGAGAGUUUCCUCCAUCCCUUGCUUGAACGAAGAGAUCUCCAGCUUCCCUUUAUUAAUGUUUGGACUUGGAAAGAAUUUAGUGACAAAUUAAUGUGCCACCGCCUCGCAAGUCCUGAACAUUCCCUUAGGAAAAGAAUUCAACCAAUCAUUUGCAUUUCCUCCAAGAGAGAAAGGAAACAAACUGAAUCUGACUCUGUCAUCCGACACUCCAGUUAUUUUGACAGUGUUGCAAAUCUCACCAAAGAUGGUAAAAUGCUUAUAAGGAUUUUCAUUUGAAAAUCCAUGGAAUUGAUUAUUCUGGACUAAUUGGAUGAGCGUCGGACUCAUCACCAUGAUGGUUGCGUUAUCAGCUGGAACCGCUAUAUUGUUGAAGUUCAAGGGGCCUACUGAGUUUGCUGCGUCCCCCAAAGUACGUCUAGGAGGUGGUUGGUUAGCCAUCUCCUCAAAAUCUGGUGCAGAAAUCUCAAGUGAAGACUGCGGAACUGCUUCAGGAGAAAGAGAUGUUUGCUGAUACAAAUUGAAAAAACACGGAUUUUGCAAAUAACUAUGCAUAAAAUCACAGAAAACGAAAAAAUAAAAAGGAUAAUGAUAUUUAGACAACAUUUUUUUGAUAACAUUUGACGUGUCAAUUUGUGUUUGAUAAAAAAUUAUUCCACAAUAAUAUUUAUGAUUAUUAUUAUUCAUUGUCACAAAUUGACACAUAAUCAAUGUUUAAAUGUUGUCAAAAAAAUAUUGUCUAAAUAUCAUUAUCCAAACAAAAAUAGGUUUCAGCCUCUCCUCAUUCCAUGCGAAGAGAGCCAAAUAAAGUGGAUUUUUAUAAAUUUUAUAUUAACUUUUACUUAUAAAAUAAACUAACAAUUUAUUAAAAAAUUAAUUAAUUGAAAAGAAAUAAAAUAUAUAAAUAUAAAUAGCAUUUUUAAUAUUCAUAAAUAUAUUUAUUAUUAUUAUAAUUAAAAGAAUAAAUAAGUAAUUUAAUUGUUCUAAUAUAUGCUUUAAAAUAAAAUAAAAAGUAUAUUAUUAUAAAUUAAUUUUAUAAAUAUAUUUUAUUAAUUAAUUAUAUUAAAAAAUAUUUAUAAUCUAUCAAAUCAUUCCCAAAUUUAAUAAACUUUCUCUUCACUUUUUCAUUUUCCCUUUCAGUUUUUUUUUUUUUUUUUCUCUUAAAUUCUUUAUCCCAUCCAAAUCUAAUAAUAUUUUUCAAAUGGUUAAAACAGAGUUGCUUGCAGCCACAAAGCAACUUCAGCCUUACCCAUAUUUUCACGCAAAAAAAUUACAUGAACUUUGAAGUUAAAAUGGGGUACCAGAAAACGACAGUGCAAAUAUCGUUACUCUAAAUAUAUGUCAUUGAAGUCUGAUAGGAUUUUUAUUUUAUUUUUUAUUUUUUUUUUAUUGUGAAAGAAAAUCCCAAACCGUAUUCAUUAGAAAAUUUUUGAAUAUAUAUAAAUAUUUGAAAGGGUUGAAAAAAUUGCAACUUGUGGUGGCGAUGUACUCACCACCUACCACUGGGAUAUUGCGUAGUUGUUGGGUUAUGAUGAAACGUGGUGCAGUGCAGUAGUUGUAAUAGGAUUACGACUAUCAGCUACAAUUUUUAUUUUAUUUUUUAUCUCUCUUUUUUUAAACUAAACCUAACAUCUUUAACCCAUUUAUUUCGUCAUCCUCAUAUCAUAUCCUUCAAAUUAACAAAUUAAUUAACUAUAAAACUCCUUUUAAUAUAUCAUAUAAAUAUUUUGAAACUACUAUGUUAAUUACAUAUACUUUUUUAUAAUUAAUUACCAGAUUUUUCAUUUACUCAAAAAUAAAGUGUUCAAAACAAUGACAAAUAUCAGAUCCGACACAUGCACGCAUUAAACUAAAAAUUCGUACUUUGGGAAAACUUAAAUACUAACAUGUUUAUAUUUUCUUAAAACUAAGAUUAGUUAUAUUUAAAACUGAUAAUAGUUCAUAAUUUUAAUAAAUGAGAUGUUAAAAAAAUUAAAAUUUAAACGAAAAAAAAUAUAUUAAUAAUUAACGAUUGGUGACCAACGUUUUGUGACGUGUGCGGAAGUCACAGUCACACCAGCUACAACCUCCUCACUUCCCGCAUAAUCUUACAGAAUAUGUUAGAUAGUUGCAACUUGAAAACCAUUAUUAUUGUUAUUAUUAUGAUUUAUUUAGUUAAUCAUUUUUUGUGAAAGUUACAACCCAGAUGCAAGUAGUUACAUCUUAUUAAAAGUAAUUAUUCCUAAAAGAUAAAUGUAAUGUAACUUAACUUUGAGGUUAAGAUAAAUGUAAUGUAAUCUAAUUUAUCAGGUUUAGUUAUUAGAUGCAACUCGAUUAAAUUCAAUUUAAUUAGAUUUAGUUAUAUUUUAUUUAUAUUUAAUUAGUAAUUUGACUUUUAUAUUUAGAUUUUGAUUUGUUUUGUUUUUCAUAUUUAUUUUUAGUUUAAUUAAGUCUUUGUUUUUAUAAAAAGAUAAUGUGAUCCGUUUAUUAGAUUGAUGUUAAUAUCGUUUAGAUAUGUCAUAUGUGAAAAAUUAAGUCUAUCAGGUGCUGAAAUCUGAAUAUUUUUUAUUUUUAAAUUUUUCUAAUUUUAACAAGUAUUACCUUUAAGGUAGAAAGUAAUUCACAUUUUGAUACGUUAUAGAUUCAUAUUUUGAUAUCUGAUACUUUUAAAGACGUUAAGGAUGAUUUAAUGGAAUGUAAUAUUAAUUUAUUUUUACAAAUUGAGUUCUUUUAUUAAAACAACAAAGAUUCAAUUGAGUAUAAAAAAAAUAUAGGAAUUAAAACAUGUAAAAAAUCUAAAUAUAAAUACCAAAUUAUUAAUUAAAUCAUAAAUUUAUGAUUAGGUCUGAUUCAAUGCAAAACCAAUACUUUUUUAUAUGGAUCACGUGAUGUAUUUAGUAUUAGUGAUUCAAUAUCCAAUUGAAAAAAACUCUUAUACUAUUAUAUUAUUUUCAUUUUCAUGUCUUUUGAAUUAGUAUAAACAUGUAUAUUGUGGCUUAUGUAUUUAAUCUGCAUUAAAUUAAAUUUUGUAAAUAGUUGAAAACAAUUUAAUAAAGUUAGUUGAGGUUAAAGAAGGAAGCAUAUAGUAUCUUUAUAUGAAUAGAAGGAAUAAAUGAGUGAGAUGUCUUAUAGGAAGUUUGUCUUAUCAUAAUAUAUAUUUUGUAAGAAAUUCCGUAUUUUCUUUUACGUAUAGUUUGUAAAGUUUGAUAAGAAGAUAUCCGUUUAAGUUGAUAAUAAGAUAGAAAAACCUAAAUGUUGCGUAGUGGUUGACAGAACACCUUUUAGCACUGUGAGUCGAAUCCGAAUGAAAAGCAAGGAAGCAAGCACUAAGGUGUGUUUCCAUUGGAUGGUUUCACAUUGUCUUUGUCCAAUUACAGCCAUUGUUGGUGUGGAAGAAUCCCUUCUCUUUCACACCCUACAUCUCAUCUUUUGUGGACAACGUUGUUUCAGUUGGCAACAACGAAAGCAAUGGAAUUGACCAUAACUUGAAACAUUUUCGUGAGUCUUAUUAUUAUGUCAGGUUUUGGAGUAGGUUGUUGCCGCGUUAUAUAUGCCUACUAACCCUCAAUACAUGAACUCGGUUCAAAAACCUUCCAAUUUCUCAUAUAGGAGAAAAUCUCUUUACCUACCUUUUUCUCUUUUUCUUUUUUUCUCUUUUUCUCUUUUUGACAACUGAAAAAUCAACCCUCCUUACAAGUACUUCUACCUACUAAAUUCUCAAACUCUUAUUUCCUUAAUUCUUGAUUGGGAAAGUUCAAAAAAUAAUCUUAAUUCUCAUUAUAUCUUAGUUUAGGUUUUUAUUUUCAAAUAUCUAUUAUUUAAAAGUGUCAAUAUUAAUAGCGGUUGGGAAUUCAAGUGUGAGUUCAAGUCUCACAUUUGAUAGAAAUGAGAGUAUAACACUAUAUUAAGGUGAAAAACUCAUUAACCCGCGAGGUUUGCACUCACUUAUAUACUUUAAAUUGACCUUUUUCUCUAGUAGAGACUUCCAACACACCCCCUCACGCUGAGGUAUAUACAUCUCAAGUGUGAGACAUUAAAUAGGCUAUAACCUGCAUCUGCUAUCAUGUUAAAGAGUGAACUUUAAGCCUAACUCAAGUUCCAUCGACUAGAGGUAAAGUCAAUUCAGAGUAUAUAAGUAGGUGACGUGUCCCAUUAAGAUGAAUGAUAGUAUGAAAGGCUAUUCGUGAUUGUGGUUGGUUGGGAAUGUUUCCGUUGGAGGAGAGUGUACUAAUGUGGAAGGGACUCACCCUUGAGAGGGAGAUUGUUGGGAAUCCAAUUGUGAGUCUUAACACGUUGCCUUAAGGUUUUGACUAGUGUUGUCAAAAUGGGUUGAAACACGUGAGCCAACCCGGCUCACCGCGGGUUUGAGCCAGGUUGGGUUGGAAAAAAAUAUAAAAAUUUUGAUGCGAGCCAAUUUUGACCCGACUCGCUAAGAACUCGGCUCACCUAGGUUGAACCUGUGGUGAGCCAGGUUGCCUCACCAACCCACCUAUUUUUUUUAUUGAAAUCAAAUUAAUUAUUCAAAAUGCACAACCUUUAUUUCACAGUAAAGCUUUUCGUGCUGCGUUGUCCUGUUGUCUAUCCAAAAGUUCCCCUCUGCUAUAUAUUUUUGUUAACGGGCUAUAUGUAGUUUCUUGGUCAAAUAGUUGUGUAUGUCUCAUUAAACUAAAUUGGCAAAAUUUUAUGAUUGAUAGCUUGGAAUAUAUAACAAUAGAGUUCUUUUGUUUCAUUUUUUUUUAUAUCAAUUGGUCCAAUUAUUACUAUUUCAAUUUGAUCGAUCAAAGUAACAUGUUAUAAGAAUCUCAGAAGAAAAGGGUGAAAAAAUGUUAAGUAAGCCAAUGGGCCAACCCGUUUAACCCACCGACCAUUGUGGGUUGGAAUUAUUUUAUUCUCUAUUCAUAUCUGUGCAUUUAUGUUCAUAUAUUUUUAUACUUAUAUUCCUUUUUUAUAUUGCUCUGAACAAUUAUAUAUAUCAAUUGUACUCUCUCCUUAUCAUUCAAUAAGAAAUACAAUAUUUCAUCCUUUCUUUUCUCAUAACAUGGUAUCAAAGGGGACGCAGGAACUAUCAUUGCAACAUGUUAUCUACUUCUUCCGCCACUCAGUCAUCCACAGGUACCUUAUAUCCUAUCUCUUCAUAUCUCUCAUAUGAUGCAUUAUCAUCUCCAUAAAUCAUAUGUCUUGAAUCUUUCCCAAGUUAGUGAACCUAAAACCUAUAACCAAGCCAUCAAACAUGAUUGUUAGAGAAAUGCCAUGGAUCAAGAAAUUGCAGCUUUAGAAAAUACUAAAACUUGGGUUUAGACUGAUCUACCUUAUGGAAAGCAACCUAUCGGAUGUAAAUGGGUAUACAAAAUAAAGAGGCAUGCUGAUGGGAGUACUGAAUGAUAUAAGGCAAGGUUAGUAGCCAAAGGCUACACGCAACAGGAAGGCUUAGAUUACUUUGAGACUUUUUCACCUGUUGUCAAACUUACAACAGUAAGAUUGGUUUUGGCUUUAGCAGCUUCCAAACAUUGGUAUUUACAUCAACUAGAUGUAAAUAAUACUUUUUUACAUGGGGAUCUAGAUGAAGAAAAACCAGACAGAGUUUGCAAGUUGUUGAAGUCUUUAUAUGGACUAAAGCAGGCCUCUAGACAAUGGAAUUACAAGUUGACAACUACUUUACUUUCUUUGGGCUAUAUACAAUCAAAAUUAGAUUUUUCACUUUUUUUCAAAAGUGAUUCUGCUCAUAUCACCAUCUUACUUAUUUAUGUAGAUGAUAUAGUUUUGGCAAGUGAUGACAUCCAGGAAAUCCAAAUUGUGAAAGUUCUAUUGAAAGCAAAGUUUAAAAUUAAAGACCUAGGCCAACUCAAGUAUUUUCUGGGCUUAGAAAUUGCAAGAUCUCAACAGGGCAUUAAUUUGUCACAAAGGAAGUAUGCUUUAGAGUUACUAGAAGAUGUAGGAUUGUUGGGAUGUCAACUUGUUUCUAUUCCCAUACAACCAGGCACAAAAUUCUCCAAGACAAAAGGAAAACCCUAUUCAGAUGUGCAAGCAUAUAAAAGACUUCUUGGCAGGUUAUUAUAUCUAACCAACACAAGACCAGAUUUAUGUUUUGCUGUUAGUACUCUCAGUCAAUUUCUUUCCAAUCCUUUGGAAGAUCACUAUGCAGCAGCAACAAGGAUCCUGAGAUAUAUCAAGAAAAAUCCAGGACAAGGAUUAUUCUUUCCCUCCAACACAGAACAUUCUCUCAAGGCUUUUAGUGAUUCUGAUUGGGCUUCUUGCCCUGAUACUAGAAGGUCUGUGACUGGUUUUAAUGUGUUCUAUGGUGCAUCCUUAAUCAGCUGGAAAUCCAAGAAGCAAGAUAUUAUAUCUAGAUCAUCAACUGAAGUAGAAUAUAGAGCCCUUAGCUUCCACAACAUGUGAAAUUCAAUGGCUUUUGUAUUUGCUCCAUGCUUUGAAACAGCCUCUGCCACAAAAGUCAACCAGACUCAAACAUAACUUUAACCUAUACUACUAAUCCAAAGUACAAAGAAAAAGAAAAAGAAAAAUCCAUGUCAGUGCUUGGCAUCCAUUAGUAGAUGCCAUCAACGAAGAUCCUCAUCUGAGUCAUCAUCAUCCUCACCCUCUUGAGCAUCCUCAAAAUCUUCAUCAUCAUCCUGGUCAUCACCCUGUCCACCUGAAGUUCCAGCAGCUCCAGACCCACUACCAUGUGCUUGUCCUCGAGGCCAAGCCAUCACACUACGGAUUUCAUCCAUAGUCCACCUGUGCACUGGUGGCUGGUCAUAUAGUCCUAUAAUCAUCUCGGCAGUGGCCUCCUGCCCUCUAUAAAUGGACUUCAUCCUCGCCUCCAUCAGAGACAUGUACAUGUCUCUCAUCUGGAAUGGCUCAAGCUGCUCUGCUGGUGCAUCUGCAGGCUCAUCCUCCUGUUGUGUUGCUUACCUCUUAGGACGUCUCCUAGGGACCACUCCAGCUGGCUCAUCCCCUUUACAAUACUGACGAAAAUAGGAGGCAUUAAUAGCACUCCUCGGCCUCUCGAAGGGUGGAACAGAAGUAUCCACUCCCGCCUGCUGGAAUAAAUAGGUAAUCAGGGACGAAUGUCCCAGUGGCAUCCUGCUGCUCACGGUGUUGGCGCAACUCAUAAUCUCACUGGUAAUAAUCUUCCCAACGUUCACAUCCAUCUGCCUCAACAUACAGUAAAUGACCAAGAUCUGAUGCAAAGUAAUGUCGGAAACAUGAGAGCAGGGCUGGAUGUUGGCAUGUGUAAAUGCCAUCCAGUAUUUAGCUAGGGGAGUUAAAUCUGCCCUCAGGAUGUUCACCGGUGCUCCGUUCGGGUUUCUCUGAAAAGGCCUCCUAGGGAUGCACAUAACUCGCUCAAUCUCCUCAUUAUCCCUGACCUCCCCUAGUAUAGCAGCAUACAUGCACUGCUCUCCUGGCCACUCAGUCCCCAGAAAAGCGUUGAUGGUAUCAGGAUCAUAGCUAAUCAAGUGCCCACGUACAUAGCUCAUGUAUCUUCCUGCAGACACUCCUCCUCUUGGCAAGGCAUUUGCAUAAAACUCCUUCACCAACACAAUACUGGCUGGUGCUGGAUAGGUCAUCAGUCUCUCCCAACCUCGCCUCUCAAUCUCCAGACCAAACUCUGGAGCCAAGUCAGGAAUGUACAUGGCUUUUCUCUCCAUCAGCAUUCGCCUCUCCUGGACUAUAGCAAAAUGUUCCUCAUGCUUCCUUGAAAGGAACCUCGAAGAAUAGAGUCUUCUAGGUCUCUCUGGUUCCUUCCUCUUAUUGCCCAUUGUCUUAACCCGUUUUGAAGUAGACAUUCUUGCAUAAAUCAAUUCAUCCAAAAAAAUUCACAGAAACAUCAUUAGAGGUUAGUGCAUCAUCUAAUCAUAUAAUUCUCUGAGGAGAAAUAGAGCUCCUCAACACACAAGCAUCCAAAAAUUUCAAUUUUUUAGGCAAACAGCUGCAGACCGCCCAACGUCAAAGGAGACGGCCAAGCGAUUUGCCUCACAUUGUGCCACCGCCUAGUGCCAAAAAAUACCGCUCAGCGGUGGCGGCUAGGGUUUUUCAAAAUCCUGGCCUAUUUGAUCCUAAUCUCCACUUUUUUUCUAAAAUUAUCAAUCCAGACCAAAAUCAUGCAAUUCAAUUGGUUCAAACAGUUCUUAUUCUAUCAAUUCAUGCAUAGAAAUCAAAAGCCUUAAUUUAUCAUGUUACUAAGCAUGUUUUUCAACAAAUCCCAACAUAGAAACCUUGAAUAAUGAAUUUGCAUACUUACUUGAGUGGAGAUGGUGAAUGCUUGCAGAAAAAUUGCUUAAUUGAUGAUGUAUGUCCUCUCCAGUUCAAUUCCCUCAACCAAAAACCCCAAACUUUGACAAAGUAAUGGUGGAAAAUUGAAUUUUCGGUGAGUGGGUGAAUGAGAAAGUGAGGAAAUCUCUCUAAAAUGCUCUUGAAAGUGAAAGAAGGGUGCUAGGGCUUAGGGAGACCGCUCAGGCAAAAUGCAAAGAAGGGUUUCAAAGUGAAAAAUGUGAAAAACCGCUCAGCUUUUAAGUAAAGCCAAACCCAUCAGCGUCGCAACCGCUCAGCGGCAAAAUGCACCGCUCAGCGGUUUGCGCUUGAUUUCUCUUCUUCCUCUUUUGCUUUCUUUUGAAUAAUCUUCCCUUCUAGCACUUAAUUUCAACCCUCAAUUUUCAAAUAUAUACCUUUCCCCUCUCAGAUGCAAUCAUUAACAUAUAAUGCACUUAACACAGGAUUAAAACAAAACAAUCAACUGGAUUGCCUUCCAGGUAGCGCUUGUUUAACGUCAUGAGCCUGACCCAAACUUGUUUAGCACUCAUCAGUAAGUGCUUCUCCUUCCAACACCCUUCAAUAGGUGUUCUUACCUUGUAUCCUUCAGUAGAUACAUAA
rnacentral:lncRNA from 1 species